rnacentral:rRNA from 1 species
CGCCCGCUCAGAAACUCAAAGGAAUUGACGGGGGCCCGCACAAGCGGAGGAACAUGUGGUUUAAUUCGAUGAUACGCGAGGAACCUUACCCGGGCUUGAAAUGCAUCUGACCGGCCUUGAAAGAGGCACUCCCUUCGGGGCAGAUGUGUAGGUGCUGCAUGGUUGUCGUCAGCUCGUGCCGUGAGGUGUCGGCUUAAGUGCCAUAACGAGCGCAACCCUCAUCAUUAGUUACCAUCAGGUAAGGCUGGGGACUCUAAUGAGACUGCCAUCGUAAGAUGUGAGGAAGGUGGGGAUGACGUCAAAUCAGCACGGCCCUUACGUCCGGGGCGACACACGUGUUACAAUGGGUGGUACAAAGGGCAGCUACCUGGCGACAGGAUGCUAAUCUCGAAAACCGCUCUCAGUUCGGAUCGGAGUCUGCAACUCGACUCCGUGAAGCUGGAUUCGCUAGUAAUCGCGCAUCAGCCACGGCGCGGUGAAUACGUUCCCGGGCCUU